rnacentral:rRNA from 1 species
AUUGAACGCUGGCGGCAGGCCUAACACAUGCAAGUCGAGCGAGCGGCGGACGGGUGAGUAUUGUAUGGGGACUGCCCGAUAGAGGGGGAUAACUACUGGAAACGGUGGCUAAUACAGCAUACUAUCGGAUCACCCAUAUGGGCUUAGCUAGUAGGUGGGGUAAAGGCUCACCUAGGCGACGAUCUCUAGCUGGGCGGUGAGGAUGAUACGCCACACUGGGACUGAGAAGCGGCCCAGACUCCUACGGAGGCAGCAGUGGGGAAACUUGCACAAUGGGAGAAAGCCUGAUGCAGCCAUGCCGCGUGUAUGAAGAAGGCCUUAGGGUUGUAAAGUACUUUCAGCGGGGAGGCGUUACCCGCAGAAGAAGCACCGGCUAACUCCGUGCCAGCCGCCGCGGUAAUUC